GUGAGACGGAAGCUCCGGCGCC
rnacentral:snRNA from 1 species